rnacentral:tRNA from 1 species
UCGGAUAUGGUGUAACGGCUAACAUUGCCGCCUCUCACCUCUUUCUAGAUCGCGGCAGCUCGGGGUUCGAUUCCCCGUAUCCGAA